rnacentral:rRNA from 1 species
UACGUAGGGUGCGAGCGUUAAUCGGAAUUACUGGGCGUAAAGCGUGCGCAGGCGGUUCGUUGUGUCGGCGGUGAAAGCCCCGGGCUCAACCUGGGAAUUGCGAUGGAGACUGCAAGGCUUGAAUCUGGCAGAGGGGGGUAGAAUUCCACGUGUAGCAGUGAAAUGCGUAGAGAUGUGGAGGAAUACCGAUGGCGAAAGCAGCCCCCUGGGAUAACACUGACGCUCAUGCACGAAAGCGUGGGGAGCAAACAGG